rnacentral:rRNA from 1 species
UACGUAGGUGGCGAGCGUUGUCCGGAUUUAUUGGGCGUAAAGCGCGCGCAGGUGGUUGGGUAAGUCUGCUGUGAAAUCUCCCGGCUCAACUGGGAGGGGGCGGUGGAGACUGCCUAACUGGAGGGCCCUAGAGGCCGGUGGAAUUCCCGGUGUAGUGGUGAAAUGCGUAGAGAUCGGGAGGAACACCUGUGGCGAAGGCGGCCGGCUGGGGGGACCCUGACGCUGAGGCGCGACAGCGUGGGGAGCGAACCGGAUUAGAUACCCGGGUAGUCCACGCCGUAAACGAUGGCCACUAGAGGUGGGGGGUAUCGACCCCCUCCGUCUCGGCGCUAACGCAGGAAGUGGCCCGCCUGGGGAGUACGGCCGCAAGGCUAAA